rnacentral:rRNA from 1 species
CCUCCGCUUAUUGAUAUGCUUAAGUUCAG